GUCUAGGUUCUCUUUAGAACCACCUAUAUAUAGUAUUGCUUGAAAU
rfam:Coniochaeta ligniaria NRRL 30616 unplaced genomic scaffold CONLIGscaffold_3, whole genome shotgun sequence.